rnacentral:lncRNA from 1 species
GUAUCAGCUAAGCGCGCAAUUUGGAAUGUACCAGCUAAGCGAAUUUUUGUUAAUUUUGUCAAUUAAUUAAUUUAACUUGCUUGUAAAUUUCUCGUAUUUGUAUUGUUAUAAAACUGGUUGUUUAGUACACCAUGGAUGUUGGUUCACAUUUACAGGUUUUAAACAAAUGUUUUGAGCAAAGUUUAAACAACUAUACUGGAGACGAUCCAUGGGACAGGUUUAUAAAAUAUCUAGAGAAGAGAUUACCUGCUGAAGACUCCAAAGCGAUGUCUCUUGUGCUAGAUCGUCUAGUACAAAGAUUUCUCCAAGAAGAGCGUUAUACCAAUGACAUCUGAUACGUAAACUACUACAUUAAAUGUGCAAGUUAUUACAAUGAGCCCAUCAAACUAUACAGCCACAUAUACAGUAAGGGCAUUGGCACCAGAGAUGCAGUCCUCUAUGUGGCGUGGGCUCAUCUAUGUGGCGUGGGCUCAACAGUUUGAGCAGCAGGGCCUGCUUCAACAGGCUGACACCGUGUACCAGAGAGCCAUGGAAAACCAAGCUAAGCCAACUGACACUGUCCUUCAGCAAUACAGAAUGUUCCAAACCAGGACUUCUGGAAGUGGGGCAGGGGCUUCAGAAGCUGUACGGAAUCCUCUUCAGAAGUCCAACUUGGUAAAUCAGCUGCAAACCCACAGAGUGCCCAGCCCACAGUGCAAGGACCCUGAACGUCUGUUCCAACUCCCUACAGACAGAACUGUUCGCAUAGGACCGUCAGAGGUUGGUUAGAGAGCAGGAGGAGGAGGUAAUGAGGAUGAACCAGCUGUUGGAGGAGCUGGAGAGUAAUCUCUGUGUGAGCUCCGCCAGUGCUCUACCAGUGCAGCAGGCACUCUGCACACCUGCAACAGAUCUGAAUCCUGAGUUCCUCCAACAUUCUUUAAGGCACCCUCUACUCUCGAGCAACCUCGGCAUCAAACUCACUCCAGGCUUUAGACUGAACAGUGUACAGGACCCCAGACAAGGCAUGGUUAGGGAAUCUGAGACGCACCUUCAGUGCGACCAUCUCAGGGCUCCCAUUACAGACAGUCUGCGCUCACAGCGAUCCGUUUCUCCAUCUGGACAGUUGGAGGAGGUAAACUCCUCCCAUAGAUGCUCCCUCCACAUGCCAGAAGCAGCAAUGGGUCACUUGCGUGAAUAUACAAAAGCUCCAAAACCAUUUGCAGUCGCUUCCCAGGCAACUUCUCUACAAGCUUCUCUAGUUCAGCCCCAACCAGAACGAAACCCUAAGCCAUUUGGGUCGGUCCCACAGAAGCCAGCAGCCUACAGAUUUGACGUGCAGCUUGGUGGAGUUCCAUAUCAGGGUGGUCACUCUCACCUCAGCAGCAUUUUCCAGCAGCACAACGGCAGCGAUCAUCAUGAGGUGUCUGUCAGUGAAGCUCCUGAGUCAGAGGUGAAAUUAGAUGUGUCACAGGGAGGGACUGGAAACGUGUCCCAUAUCACUCCUAACACUUCUCUGGGACUGGUGCAAGUCACCCCGUCCAGGGUGCUCCCAUCCCCCACAGUCAACACACGGGAGGCACUUGAUGCUAUCAUGGACAUGUUCCAGGUUCCAACCCUCCUGCAGGAGGACCAGUUCCGCAGCAUGCCAAUGCAUCCACAUCAGGCGGAGAAGAGCUUUGAUGCUGGCUACCAGAGAACGGGUAAUUCAAUUCCCAUCUGAUUACAACUUCUCAAAAACUUUGUUUCAGACUGUAAGCAAAAAUCAUAUCACAUUUUACAGUAAAACAAUUAAUUAAAUAAAUAAGAGGUAAAAGCCAACAGACAAUAAAAGCGACACAUAAUGGCGGGUCACCCUUUUUGAUUUUACAUACAGUGAUUAAAUGGUCUUUCUAUAAAUGUUUUUGUUGUAUUAUGUAAUGGAGGCGCAGCUUCAUUCAGCAAGCCCCCCAGUGCAGUCCCUUUCGCUAUCUUUCAGGAUGAGAAUGACAUAAAGGAGAAAUGCAGUGCUGCUAUGGUGGACAAUGCAAAGCCACCAAGGGCCCUAGCAGAAAUCCCUCUGUCUAAACCAGAGAAACAAAAUGAACGUCCAUCGGAAUUGAUACCAGAUGAGAGCACUAU